CGGCCUGCCGCACCCACGCGGCGCUUCUGCAAAAGUUACAGACCGCCGGGUGGCCGCGCGGUGCGGUCACGCGGAGCUGCCCACCCAGUAGAGAAGAAAACUCCCGUGGGGCAUCGGCUUCUUCGGGAAAGACAACGAUGCUUCCCCCGUUGAAGCCCGGAGUCCUCCUCCUAGGCCAUCCGCCAAGGGCUGCAGGGAGCGUGGCUCAUCCUUUCGGAGCCCCUCCCAGGAAGAGUCAGUUGUGUGUGGCCCGCGGUGCCCGGCCGUCCGUUCCAGGCUGGACUCUCCAAGGCCAUCAGGCUUCAGGAUGGAUGAUGAACUUUCAAAAAGGAAAAAGAUGGAAAAUCGUCGAAAUUACCAUAAACUGUGCUGCCAGCUGACUAGGUGUUUCUUUGUAGCACGUGCAGAGUCAAGGCAGAUUGUAUUCCUGCAUUAUAUAACCUACCAGCAACCUACUUACCUCCUGUCUUAAUCAAGGUUAUUCUUGAAAGCAGAGCCUGAGACAGAGGUAGCUGCAUGCUCUUUGGGAAUGUGAUCCUAAGGAGCACGAAUGAGAGAGGGGAGUGCAGGGAGCUGGGGGGGCAGAGAGUCAGGCAAGACAAGGUCGUGUUAUCACGUGGUCCGCUACUGUUGUGGUUACUUAGCGCAGAACCUCCUCAGGAUUCUUAUUAAACUUUAUCUCAGAACUGGCUGCCCGAGGGACGAACAGGGGAAGCAUUUCUCUGUACUGUGUGCUGAGGGCUGCUCCCAUGGGACGUUAAUUCCCCCAUCCCUAUGGGUUGCAAAUACAGGAGAGCCUCCUGGUACCAGAGCGUCACACAGUGCCGCAUCAGAGAAGCCUGGGGACAGGAAGCUCGGUUCUUGGUCCCUGAAGGGCAGCACUGUCUGCACAGAGCAGGGUGAAACCGGCCCAGAACUGUCCACUAGAGCUGUGGCUGGACUCGGAGGUUGAAGAGAUCUGCAGCGGGGCGCACGAGGCAGCUUAUAAGCCUCCGGAAUGUGCUAUCAGCCUUGUCUAGAUCUCUUUCCUCGCUUCCUCCUAUAAUCAAACUUUCAGGGUCCAGCACAAGAGUGGCAGAAGGGUUAGAUAGGGAAGUUAAAUGUGUUAGAAGAUGUACGUUACUAACAGUUGUGACCUUGAGCAAUGUUUGUAAGAAAUAGAAAGUGACACUAGAACUGGGAAAAUUAAAAAUGAUUCUACUUGAAACAUGGGACCUUUGGGUAGAGAUAGUAGAUAUCUUCUAAACUCAUGUAAUCUCAGAAGCAAUUAUGAAUUUUUGGAGAAAAAUGGAGAAAUAAAAUUAACCAUUUCUUAUAUGUCUCUAUGAGCUUUAUAAAUCAACGUCAUUAACUUUUCUCAAGAUUUCCCAAGAUAUUUCCCAUCUCAAGUACCCCACUGUCAAACACUCUUGAUACGGAGCUUAUAACCAAUGAAGAGAAAAUUGGUAGAAACAGAGGAAGAAAAACAUUGGGAUAAUUUACAUCACAUAAAGCAUUGGCAUUAAUAUUGGUUGGAAUAGGGGAACCUGAAUGCUGUGACUUGGGGUUCCUCUGUGAGGUCCGUGCUCCCUGGAAUAGUUUUCUCUCUGCCUGCACCCCUGUGAUGUCAUCCUCCUCCUCUCUUGCUUGGUCUGGAAUCACCACAAUAGGAUAAAACCUUUGAGUUAGUCAAUUUGGUAUGCCUUGGGCUCCGGCUAUUUGCUAUAUAUUGGUGCUGUACGUAUGAAUAAGACGAUAUAAAACAUCCAAAACUUUCAGAAUACAUAGUUUUUAAAGGUACCCUCAGAACAUUUACCAAAACCGACCAUAUGAUUGAUCACAAAUCAUCUCAACAAACUUCAAAAGAUUGAAAUUUCAAGGGCUGGUCAGGUCGCACAGGGGUUAGGUUCACAUUCUCCGCUUUGCAGCCCUGGGUUUGCUGGUUCAGAUCCUGGUUGUGGACCUACGCAGUGCUUGUCAAGCCAUGCUGUGGCAGGCAUCCCACAUGAAAAGGAGAGGAGGAUGGGCACAGAUGUUGGCUCGGGGCCUGUCUUCCUUGGCAGGAAGAGGAGAAUUGGCAGCAGAUGUUAGCUCAGGGCUAAUCUUCCUCAAAAAAAAAAAAAAAAGAAAAGAAAAGAUUGAAAUUUCAUAGAGUAUGAAUUAACCCAGAAAUCAAUACUUAAAGAUUAAAAAUUUCUCAAAUGCUUGUAAUUUAAGGAACAUAGUGCUAAUGAUCUGUGAGUAAACUAUAAAUCACAGUGCAAUUUAGAAAAUAUUUUGAGAUGAAUUAUAAAGAAAAUAUAUCAAAACUUGGCAGAUGCCAUGAAAGCAAAUGCUUAUGGGAAAUUUAUAGCUCUAAAUACAUAUAUUAGAAACUUUACCAAAAGAUUGACUAUCCGUGUUCCACGAAGCCAGGAAAAAAGUUGUGGGAAGCAGCUUCUCAGACAUUGGACAACUGCCACAAAGGAUGAUCAGUGAGGGAGGCGAGCCAGCUGACCCUACACUUGCCCUGCCUUCUGGGGUAAGCGCUGGAGGACAUUGCGGGAGCAGGGGCUUUGGCAGGCCAGAGCAGUCUUGCUGAGCUGAGGAGACAAAGAUUGCGGUUGAGUGAGACUGAGAUGCCGAGUAUCAGCGAGGACGAAGGUAUAUGGAGAAAAAAAUUCCAAAAAUCUACACACCAAUCCUUUAGUGUCCAUUGCUGAGCACUAAGCUUAAUUCCCAAAACUAGCACGAGAAUGGGCAACAUUACUUUCCAUCCAGCCAUACUGGACCAUCCCCACUGAGAACUCCAGACAUUCACUGGAGGUCCGAGGAAGGUUACACCUUAGGUAAAAAGCAGGGAUAAACUAGCCUGAUAGUAAAAUCUACGCUAGACUUGACCCCUAAAAAAGCUUAAAAACAAGCCUCGAUUAUGAAGCUGAGCCACAAGUAUCAAACUACCUGGCAGAACAAAGUCCAAAUUCUUUCGUUCAGGUCCUCCAAGAAGCACAUGCAAAAAGGAUUAAGUUUACGAGAGAUUUAUUUGGGGACACGCCUAUGGACACUGAAAUAGAGAGGAAGUCAGAGGAAGCAGAGAGUCUUCAGGCCACGUAUCAUGUCUGACCCCUUUGAAGAAAGAGGGAAGGAAGGAGGGUUGAGCAGCAAGAGUCUCAGACUGCAGCACAAUUCCAAGAAAGUCUAUGGUCAGGCUGAUGAAGAACCCUCCAGCCCAAGUUGACCAUCAGAGGAGUAUCCUACCUCACAGGAAUGGGCCUGCCUUAGUACACCUGCUCUGCUCACGUUCUGAUGGGAACAACCCAUGGGAACUGUAGCCCUGGCAUGAAAAUAUCCAUGGAUUCCGAGAGCAGUAGCUGGGGCCCUCAGUCAGUCAAGCUCCCCUCAGCAAGAGAUCUGGUGGUCAUGGCUAUUACAGUCCACCCCUUGUGCUGCAUAGCUCUGCUCAGGGAGCAAGUCCUCCAUGGUUCCCGUGGGGUACCUCUCUUCCUGAGAAACACUUAGAAAAGGGAGGUUAGUAGGAUGAAGUGCAUUCCCUGUCACUGCAGUUGAUCCAAGGGCUGCAAGUGGUCCUCAUCUCCUCCUCCAAUAUCCCAUUUUGGAUUCUUCUCACACUUGCCAAUCACCCAGUGGUUUACCUGAUGAUGUGGUGCAAACGGUCAUUCCUGAGAGUCUGAACCCUUAGUAAUCAUGCCCUUCUUAGGCUGGGUUUGCCAUAUAUGGCCGUUUGUGUCGGUUCACAGUUCUAGUGGGGCAAGAGAGCACCAGGAGACACCAAGUGGAUCACGUUGAGAUCCACACAUAUCCCUCCCUGUCCCAUUGUGUAGAAGCAGCCUGACCUCCUGCUCACAGUGGUCAAUUUCUCUGUAAAUAUGGUGAUUCCUCACCUGCACGCCCCUAGACACAAGGAGUACAAAGUGCCCUAGUGGCAACCAUUUCUUGUAGCUCAGUUGGACCCUGACUGUGCUCCUUGACAAGAGCAUGCCCCUUUUUGGGAACCAGGACCUUUCAAGUUUACAAAGGGCAGAGUUGCAGGAGCACAAAUGCUUCCAAUAAUGUCAUCAGGAGUGUUAGAAAUGAGGCCAUUCCUUUUGCCAACACAUUGCACCCAUGUAUCCUUAAAGAUGACAACCCAUGCUUUCAGAAUGUUGCCUCAAAGUUCAUACUUUAGCUGUGUCUUUAGAAGACCAUUCCACCAUUCCGUGAGGCUGGUGUCAUGGAUGAGGCUGCAGCGUGGUGUAGUAUGUGAUAAGACCAGGGCGUUCCUUUGUCAUGAGCCCUCUCUCGCACCUUCACCACCAUGAAGUCGCUGGAUACUAUAGCAGUCCUUUUCGUGGUGCUGGCUGAGGCUCUGCAGGUAGAAAGGCAAACCCAUACCUGGAUUAGGUUCUGUCCCUGUGAGGACAAACUACUGGCCCUUCCGGGAUGGAAGAGGCCCAUUACAGUCAACUUGCCACCAAGUGACCAGUUAAUCUUGCGGAAUAGUGUCAUAUCAAGGGCUCAGUGAUGGUCUCUGUGGCUGACAGGUUAGACAUUCAGAGGCUGCAGUAGCUAGAUCAGCCUUAGUAACUGAGAGUCCACGUGUUGGGCCCAUACAUAACUUCCAGCUCUGCCGCUGUAGCUACUCCAUUCAUGUGCCCAUCAUGCCAGUUCAGAGUGUCUGAUGACAAAGCCUGACCAACCUCAGCUGGCCAAGACAUUCUGUUUAUUUGGUUGCUAAGUGCCCUUCCUUGACGGAUGCUUUCUGGGGGGUGUUAAUGUGUGAAACAAAAAUCUUCACACUCUGUCCACUCCCAUAUGUCCAUCCACAUACCUCUACACCAGACUUCCUUGGCUCCGAUUGUCCAGUCCUUUUCCAUCCAGGCUUUUGAACAGAUGGCCAAGCCAUUAGCCACUGCCCAGGAAACAGUACAUAUUCUCACCUGGAACAAGUCCUCUACACAAAACAGAUGCCCGGGUACACCACUCACAGUUCUGCUUAUUAGAAAGAUUUGCCCUUUCCACUGUCCUUCAGGGCCACUCCUGGAUGUAGCUAUAGUGUAGCCAACUGUUUCUGAUGCUCUUUCCUGAUUGGGAUUGAGAAGAACACAUUCACCAGAUCAAUGACCCCAUGCUGUGUACCCGAGCUCUUCUUAGUCUCUAGUAAUGAGCAAUACCACAUCUGCACAGGAGCUGCAGUCAGGGCAAACACUAGGUUACACCUGCAGUAGUCUAAAGUCAUUCUACCCAGUAUCUUCAAAGCCCAGACUGGGAAAGUAAAUGGAGAAACGAUGGGGACCACCAAUAAGCUCCACCUCCCCCACCCCAGCCAGAUGUUUAUGAAUUGUUAUCUUGGCUUGGGUGAGGAAGAGUUUCAGAGGUUUCCAUUUGGCUAUCCCCAUUAUGAUAGCUCUUACCCUGUGGGCCAAAGGCUUUAUGUGUAUGUUGCAAUCAUUUCUAACCAUACACUGAGGCACUGUGGACAUGACCCCUUGUAGGUCCAUGGACUCAGUGUCCACUGUGAGCCAGACUUUAGCUACCACAGGACUUGGUCCCCAUGACCCCCAAAUUAAGAGGGGGUCCAUGAUGUUGCUUUGGGUUUCCAGGUAUCAAUGUCAACUCACCCUACUUCCAACAGUCCUUGAAAUGUCUGGAUAUUCCCCUUUCUCACUGUACAGUCACCCUAGUAUUUGGCCAUACUUCCAUCUAGGGAAGAACUUGGUAAUUCAUAACACUAUGUGCGUGCCACUGUAUACCAGAGUCGUUCCUCUGACGAACCUGGCCACUCUUCCAGUGUGGGUUCUGUAUCUGAAAAUUGCCUCAGGUCUGGGAACUAAGCAAGGGAUCGUGAUUUUUCACUGGGGCCAAUGUCCUCAGCCUCUUCCUUUUCCAUUUUUGCCUUACUGAUUAUAGAUGUUAAGCACCAUCCUUGUUCCUUACCCAUCUAUUUUUGACUGUAGGGUAUUAUGUUUAAUAAUCAUCUCCCAAACACCCUGAGGGUCAAGCCCCCUUGACUGCCCCUCCAACUUUACCAGUUGUUACAGUAAUUAUGGCCUCUUAGCUUUUGGUAAAGUACCAGUCCUCUAUGACUUCAGGGCCCAUCACUCCCAAGUGACAUUAACAAGCAAUCAGCCCUGGUCUAAAGAAGAGAGACACCAAUGAACCUGUGAUGCUCAUGCCCUCUCUCAGGCACAUCUUGGUGGCCUUAGUGAAUCAUGUGUCUUCUGGGCCCUGCUUUGGAACAAAAUCAUGUGGUGGAUUUUUCUAGUCGCCUAAUAUAUCCACUCCAGCAUGACCACUUCCCUCAGCCUCUUUAUUGCUGCUCCUGCCAUUUACCAGGACAACCUGGACUUUUCCACUUCACUUAGUGUUGACCAUAACUUUAUCAGGCUUCUAAGGGCUACCCUAUCAGUGAAUUUGGCCCAUUCCCUGGGGUUGUUUGCUAGAAUGAUAAAUCCUGUUCCCAAUAAAGUGCUCCUAAAUAAAUCAGUUCUUGUUUUUCUAGUCUUACAUUCUGGCCCCCUAAAUAAAGCACCUUCAAAAACCAACCCUAGGAAUAUUCCCCUGGCUCUUGGUGGUACAUGCU
rnacentral:lncRNA from 1 species